CCAGACUCCUCGGGAGGCAGCAGUAGGGAAUCUUCGGCAAUGGACGAAAGUCUGACCGAGCAACGCCGCGUGAGUGAAGAAGGUUUUCGGAUCGUAAAACUCUGUUGGUAGAGAAGAACGUUGGUGAGAGUGGAAAGCUCAUCAAGUGACGGUAACUACCCAGAAAGGGACGGCUAACUACGUGCCAGCAGCCGCGGUAAUACGUAGGUCCCGAGCGUUGUCCGGAUUUAUUGGGCGUAAAGCGAGCGCAGGUGGUUUAUUAAGUCUGGUGUAAAAGGCAGUGGCUCGACCAUUGUAUGCAUUGGAAACUGGUAGACUUGAGUGCAGGAGAGGAGAGUGGAAUUCCAUGUGUAGCGGUGAAAUGCGUAGAUAUAUGGAGGAACACCGGUGGCGAAAGCGGCUCUCUGGCCUGUAACUGACACUGAGGCUCGAAAGCGUGGGGAGCAAACAGGAUUAGAUACCCUGGUAGUCCACGCCGUAAACGAUGAGUGCUAGAUGUAGGGAGCUAUAAGUUCUCUGUAUCGCAGCUAACGCAAUAAGCACUCCGCCUGGGGAGUACGACCGCAAGGUUGAAACUCAAAGGAAUUGACGGGGGCCCGCACAAG
rnacentral:rRNA from 1 species